rnacentral:tRNA from 1 species
UGCCCUGUGGUGUAACGGUAACACAGCGCCCUUUGGAGGCGUUAUUCUUGGUUCGAAUCCAAGCGGGGCAGCCA